UGCAUAUCAAAAAGCGGAGGAAAAGAAACCAACAGGGAUUGCCUCAGUAACGGCGAGUGAAGCGGCAAAAGCUCAAAUUUGAAAUCCCCCGGGAAUUGUAAUUUGAAGAGAUUUGGGUCCGGCCGGCAGGGGUUAAGUCCACUGGAAAGUGGCGCCACAGAGGGUGACAGCCCCGUGAACCCCCUUAACGCCUUCAUCCCAGAUCUCCAAGAGUCGAGUUGUUUGGGAAUGCAGCUCUAAGUGGGUGGUAAAUUCCAUCUAAAGCUAAAUACCGGCGAGAGACCGAUAGCGAACAAGUACAGUGAUGGAAAGAUGAAAAGCACUUUGAAAAGAGAGUGAAAAAGUACGUGAAAUUGUUGAAAGGGAAGGGCUUGCAAGCAGACACUUAACUGGGCCAGCAUCGGGGCGGCGGGGAAGCAAAACCACCGGGAAUGUACCUUUCGAGGGAUUUAUAACCCCCGGUCCUUACUCCCUAUGCCGCCCCGAGGCCUGCAAUCUAAGGAUGCUGCGUAUUAU
rnacentral:rRNA from 1 species